AUGAAACAUCUUUAGUGUUUCCCAAAAAUAAUAUUGAUCAUAGAUUGGUAGCUCAUAAAUAGAAGUAAGAAGGAUCAAAUUAAUUUGAUAAUAGAGUUAGAAAUGAUUGCGAAUUGUAGCCUAAUUCUUUUAUCAACAUUUCUUAAAUUUUUGUGAAUGUGAAGUAUGUUGCCUGUACAUUUUCUCAUAAAAAACAACAACAAGCCCCAAGUAAUUCGUGUUUCCGAUGAUUUAUCUGAUUUGGUAUCGAUGUCUUGUUAAAAUAUCAGAGUAGCAUUACCAAGCAUCUGAUAUAGCAAAUAAGAUCUUAUGUUCUGCGAUGUGCGAGACCUCCUGCAGACCUUCGAAGAGUGCUAGUUCCGAUUCCAGGAACUCGUUCAGUUCCGGAUCCAUAUCCUCCGGCCACUCUGCCUCCUCUAUGAGGGGUUAAACAUGCGUCUCAUGUCCGCCGAACACUACUCCGACCGCAGAUGGACCUCUAGGACUCUCAGGGUGCCCUUGACUACUUUACUUUGGUAGCUGCUCCUGAUCUGCUGACACCAGCUUUUGCCUCAACUUCCUCCGUCCUUUGGCAUGCCACCUAUAUGAUCAACCCUGAGCCGUUGUUGUAGCUCUAACCAUCGCU